rnacentral:rRNA from 1 species
AUUGAACGCUGGCGGCAUGCCUUACACAUGCAAGUCGAACGGCAGCACGGGAGCAAUCCUGGUGGCGAGUGGCGAGCGGGUGAGUAAUAUAUCGGAACGUGCCCAGUCGUGGGGGAUAACGUAGCGAAAGCUACGCUAAUACCGCAUACGAUCUAUGGAUGAAAGCGGGGGAUCGCAAGACCUCGCGCGAUUGGAGCGGCCGAUAUCAGAUUAGGUAGUUGGUGAGGUAAAGGCUCACCAAGCCGACGAUCUGUAGCUGGUCUGAGAGGACGACCAGCCACACUGGGACUGAGACACGGCCCAGACUCCUACGGGAGGCAGCAGUGGGGAAUUUUGGACAAUGGGCGCAAGCCUGAUCCAGCAAUGCCGCGUGCAGGAUGAAGGCCUUCGGGUUGGUUAAACGUAGCGUUUGUUACGGUAACGAACGGUAGAGC